rnacentral:rRNA from 1 species
UAGGGAAUCUUCGGCAAUGGACGAAAGUCUGACCGAGCAACGCCGCGUGAGUGAAGAAGGUUUUCGGAUCGUAAAACUCUGUUGUUAGAGAAGAACAAGGACGUUAGUAACUGAACGUCCCCUGACGGUAUCUAACCAGAAAGCCACGGCUAACUACGUGCCAGCAGCCGGGGUAAUACGUAGGUGGCAAGCGUUGUCCGGAUUUAUUGGGCGUAAAGCGAGCGCAGGCGGUUGCUUAAGUCUGAUGUGAAAGCCCCCGGCUCAACCGGGGAGGGGCAUCGGAAACUGGGUGACUUGAGUGCAGAAGAGGAGAGUGGAAUUCCAUGUGUAGCGGUGAAAUGCGUAGUUAUAUGGAGGAACACCAGUGGCGAAGGCGGCUCUCUGGCCUGUAACUGACGCUGAGGAUCGAAAGCGUGGGGAGCAAACAGG